rnacentral:lncRNA from 1 species
UAGGUAAUUUGCUUAAGGCCUUAUAACUGCUUAUUGGUGGUCCUUAAACUUAUAUCCAGGUCUUUUUCAUUUCAGAAGCCCAAGCUUCUACAUUGCCUUUUGUGAUGAAUAUCAGGUCUUACUUAUGAGAAUAUAUUUUCAAUAAAAUGUUAAAAAUCUGUGUACCAUUGGACAAGUAAUUUUGGCUGCAGUUUCCCUAUGUGUACAAAGAAUGAACUUCUUAUUUCAGUCUUUGUAGUAGAGAUGGGAUCUCACCAUGUUGGCCCAGGUGGUCUCAAACUCCUGACCUCAA